rnacentral:rRNA from 1 species
AGCGAACGCUGGCGGCAGGCCUAACACAUGCAAGUCGAACGAACCUUUCGGGGUUAGUGGCGGACGGGUGAGUAACACGUGGGAACGUGCCUUUAUGUUCGGAAUAACUCAGUUAAACUUGUGCUAAUACCGAAUGUGUCCUUCGGGGGAAAGAUUUAUCGCCUCUAGAGCGGCCCGCGUCCGAUUAGCUAGUUGGGUGUGGUAAUGGCUCACCAAGGCGACGAUCAGUAGCUGGUCUGAGAGGAUGAUCAGCCACAUUGGGACUGAGACACAGCCCAAACUCCUACGGGAGGCAGCAGUGGGGAAUCUAGCGCAAUGGGCGAAAGCAUGACGCAGCCAUGCCGCGUGAAUGAUGAAGGUCUUAGGAUUGUAAAAUUCUUUCACCGGGGACGAUAAUGACGGUACCCGGAGAAGAAGCCCCGGCUAACUUCGUG